rnacentral:rRNA from 1 species
GUGGGGAAUCUUGCGCAAUGGGCGAAAGCCUGACGCAGCCAUGCCGCGUGAAUGAUGAAGGUCUUAGGAUUGUAAAAUUCUUUCACCGGGGACGAUAAUGACGGUACCCGGAGAAGAAGCUCCGGCUAACUUCGUGCCAGCAGCCGCGGUAAUACGAAGGGGGCUAGCGUUGCUCGGAAUUACUGGGCGUAAAGGGCGCGUAGGCGGACAGCUUAGUCAGAGGUGAAGGCCCAGGUCUCAACCUUGGAAUUGCCUUUGAUACUGGCUGUCUUGAGUUUGGGAGAGGUGAGUGGAACUCCGAGUGUAGAGGUGAAAUUCGUAGAUAUUCGGAAGAACACCAGUGGCGAAGGCGACUCACUGGCCCAAUACUGACGCUGAGGCGCGAAAGCGUGGGGAGCAAACAGGAUUAGAAACCCGGGUAGUCC